rnacentral:rRNA from 1 species
UACGUAGGGUCCGAGCGUUGUCCGGAUUUAUUGGGCGUAAAGAGCUCGUAGGCGGUUCCGUAAGUCAGAUGUGAAAACUCAGGGCUCAACCCGGAGACGCCAUCUGAUACUGCGGUGACUGGAGUCUGGUAGGGGAUCACGGAAUACCGUGGUGUAGCGGUGAAAUGCGCAGAUAUCAGGUGGAACACCGAGUGGCGAAGGCAGCUCGCUGGGACGUUACUGACGCUGAGACGCGAAAGCGUGGGGAGCAAACAGG